GAGAAAAAGAUGGCCUUGAUUUAAAAAUGAUACAACAAGUACCUCGAAUGGGCAUGCUUUCUGCUCUGCGCUGCAAACACAAUUAAGAGGCAUCUCUUCAGCACCAGAUCACCUCAAUAGUAUCUGUGUCAUCCUUGACGUACAUCGUGGCCGGCUUGGAAAAAGAAAAGGUUGGAUGUUUUGUACUCUGCGGCGGGGGCCAAGGUAGUUUGUUUUUCACUUGUUCUCCUUGUAUUUAACACCACGAGUAAAAAAUAGGGAGUAAAAAUAGCAUGUUGGCCUCUUAUCUUAGUCUGUGAUCAUGGUGACAGUGAAAAUAUUAUGGCCUGCUUCUCUUGGGAGCAACUCCAAUCACACUGGCUUAUUAUAACUUGAAAUAACGGAUGGAGAAAUACCUUCCAUACCAGCUUCAGACUGAGCACCCUAAAUUAGUUUCUGUUCACAUUUAGAAAGUUGGGUGCCAAAAAUGGAAUGCAGUUGUGGCAAAGAGAGGUUGUUGCUUUAAUGGUAUCUUUGAAUAAAAUGAGAAAGGAGAAGCCCCCUUUUUCUUUUAAAAAGAAAAAGAAAGAGAGAGACUUGAUCUAUGCUGCAUCAAAGGAAGGAAAUGAAAUUAAUGUCCUCGAAAGGAGUUUGUUUUGCUGAGCUGUUUUUCAGUUCUUUGAUAGCUUCCUUUCUAAGGUGGCAUUUCUGUUUCCUUUUGCAAAGAGUGUUAUAUUUAUUCCUCAAAAUGAGAUUAUUUUGGCCACAUCAAGUGUUAGAGAAACUCCUCAAUGUACUUCCUCUGUAGAUAUUUUUCAGCUGGAGUGCUUCUGCAGUCAAUUGGUAUAAUGGGCUGAACUACAUCCUCCCCAAAUUCCCCCCCAGAGCCCUAACUCCCACUACUUCAAUGUGACUGUAUUUGGAGACAGGACAUUUAAGGGAGUGAAUAUGUUAAAAUGAGGCCAUUAGGGUGGGCCCUAAUCCAAUCUGACUGGAGUCAUAAGAAGAGAAAAUUUGAAUGCACAGAGACAGCAGGGAUGUGUGUGUGCACAGAGGAAAGACCAUGUGAGGACGCAGUGAGAAGGCGGCCGUCUGCAAGCCAAUGAAUGAGGCCUCAGAAGAAAUCCCAUCUGCCAACACCUUGAUCUUGGACUUCCAGUCUCCAGAACUGUGAGAAGAUAAAUUCCUGUUGUGUAAGCCACCCGGUCUGUAGAAUUUUGUUAUGGCAACCUGGGCAAACUAAUACAACUGGGGUGGGAGCGGGAUGUCCCUUUACAGAAAAGACAGCUUUUCAGAAGGUGGGUUCGUCAGGACACCAGGGAAGGGAGCUCAAGUUUAAAGAGAGAAAGCAUUCGGCUGCUCUGUCUUCCCUAAGCUCCUGGAGGCCACCUGCAGUCCUGGGCUCACAAUCCCUUCCUCACAUCACCACAACCUCUGCUUCUGGCAUCACUUCUACUACUUACUCUCAUCUCCUGGACCCUCUUAGAGGCACAAGAGCCCCUGUGAUUACAUCAACCCCAUCCAGAUCAUCCAAGAUACUCUCCCCAUCCUGAGAUCCUUAACUUAAUCACAUCUGUAAAGUCCCUUUGCCAUAUCAAGUCACAUUUGCAGGUCCUGGAGAUUAAGAUAUAGACAAUUUUAGGAGACCAUUACUCAGCCUAUCACAGACUCCAAAGAGGUUUUGUUUAUGUGGCUUAUAUUUGUCAA
ensembl:lncRNA novel transcript